rnacentral:rRNA from 1 species
AUACGAAGGGGGCUAGCGUUGUUCGGAAUUACUGGGCGUAAAGCGCGCGUAGGCGGAUUGGUCAGUUAGGGGUGAAAUCCCAGGGCUUAACCCUGGAACUGCCUCUAAUACUGCCAGUCUUGAGUUCGGGAGAGGUGAGUGGAAUUCCUAGUGUAGAGGUGAAAUUCGUAGAUAUUAGGAAGAACACCAGUGGCGAGGGCGGCUCACUGGCCCGAUACUGACGCUGAGGCGCGAAAGCGUGGGGAGCAAACAGGAUUAGAAACCCCAGUAGUCC